rnacentral:sRNA from 1 species
ACACACGGAAGGAGGUGGUCCGAGACAUGAAGUUCUCCAGGACGCGUGAGGUGACUGUCCGCUAGUCGCCCGAGCACUUCGGACGGAUUGCAUGAUCCGCCCGCUGAGCCCGCCGGACCCCCAGGAUCCGGACCAGGGCGGCGAGCGAGUCUCAGGCAGUCACCGCAGCCCGUGGGAGCCGCGACCUCGUCCUUCGCGGCAGGGCCCCGUCAGGGGUUCCGGCCCACGGGCUGUCCCAU